rnacentral:rRNA from 1 species
AGGGUUCGAUUCUGGCUCAGGAUGAACGCUGGCGGCGUGCUUAAUACAUGCAAGUCGAACGGAGAAUGUAGCAAUACGUUCUUAGUGGCGAGCGGGUGAGUAACGCGUUGGUGACCUGCCUCGAAGAGAGGGAUAACAGUCCGAAAGGAUUGCUAAUACCUCAUGUGAUUGUAGGGUUUAGAAGCUUACAAUUAAAGGAGUAAUUCACUUCGAGAGGGACCUGCGUACCAUCAGCUAGUUGGUGAGGUAACGGCCCACCAAGGCGAUGACGGUUAGGGGACCUGAGAGGGUGGCCCCCCACAAUGGAACUGAAACACGGUCCAUACACCUACGGGUGGCAGCAGUAGGGAAUAUUAGUUAAUGUGCGAAAGCGCGAACUUAAGCAACGCCGCGUGUGCGAUGAAGGCCUUCGGGUUGUAAAGCACUUUUCUAAGGGAUGAGGAAGGACAGUACCUCAGGAAUAAGCAUCGGCUAACUACGUGCCAGCCGCCGC